ACAGCAGUAGCCGCGGUAAUACAGAGGGUGCGAGCGUUAAUCGGAUUUACUGGGCGUAAAGCGUGCGUAGGCGGCUUUUUAAGUCGGAUGUGAAAUCCCUGAGCUUAACUUAGGAAUUGCAUUCGAUACUGGGAAGCUAGAGUAUGGGAGAGGAUGGUAGAAUUGCAGGUGUAGCGGUGAAAUGCGUAGAGAUCUGGAGGAAUACCGAUGGCGAAGGCAGCCAUCUGGCCUAAUACUGACGCUGAGGUACGAAAGCAUGGGGAGCAAACAGGAUUAGAUACCCGGGUAGUCCCUGUCUCUUAUAU
rnacentral:rRNA from 1 species